rnacentral:rRNA from 1 species
CGGAGGAUCCAAGCGUUAUCCGGAAUCAGUUGGGUUUAAAGGGUCCGUAGGCGGUUUGGUAAGUCAGUGGUGAAAGCCCAUCGCUCAACGGUGGAACGGCCAUUGAUACUGCCAGACUUGAAUUACUGGGAAGUAACUAGAAUAUGUAGUGUAGCGGUGAAAUGCUUAGAGAUUACAUGGAAUACCAAUUGCGAAGGCAGGUUACUACCAGUGGAUUGACGCUGAUGGACGAAAGCGUGGGUAGCGAGCAGGAUUAGAUACCCUGGUAGUCCACGCCGUAAACGAUGGAUACUAGCUGUUGGGGGCAACUUCAGUGGCUAAGCGAAAGUGAUAAGUAUCCCACCUGGGGAGUACGUUCGCAAGAAUG